rnacentral:rRNA from 1 species
AUUGAACGCUGGCGGCAUGCCUUACACAUGCAAGUCGAACGGUAACAGGUCUUCGGAUGCUGACGAGUGGCGAACGGGUGAGUAAUACAUCGGAACGUGCCUAGUAGUGGGGGAUAACUACUCGAAAGAGUGGCUAAUACCGCAUGAGAUCUACGGAUGAAAGCAGGGGAUCGCAAGACCUUGCGCUACUAGAGCGGCCGAUGGCAGAUUAGGUAGUUGGUGGGAUAAAAGCUUACCAAGCCGACGAUCUGUAGCUGGUCUGAGAGGACGAUCAGCCACACUGGGACUGAGACACGGCCCAGACUCCUACGGGAGGCAGCAGUGGGGAAUUUUGGACAAUGGGCGCAAGCCUGAUCCAGCAAUGCCGCAUGCAGGAUGAAGGCCUUCGGGUUGUAAACUGCCUUUGUACGGAACGAAAAGCCCCGGGUUAAUACCCUGGGGUCAUGACGGUACCGUAAGAAUAAGCACCGGCUAACUACGUGCCAGCCGCCGCAGUAA